GCCAAGCUUGGCGGUGGGUCUGACAUCAUCAGGGUCGUUUAGUUUGCAUGCAGGUGAGAGGCGAGCUCUCUGUCAUAGCUGCCCCUCUUCGCUGGUCCAGAGUCCAGUCCACUGCCUUCAGCUUCUCCUUCCUUACUCCCUCUCUCUACCUGCAGACCUUACCAGUUUGAGUCCAUCCCUAAGGCUGCAUGGCAGGGUUGGCGGGCAGAGGGCCUGCCUUGGGGCUUUCCAGCUCAGAAGAGGAAACACAUCUUUAAAGUCUGAGGCCUUGCAGGGAUUCCCUGGAUUUUUCGGUUCCAAAGCAGUGUGGUUAGCCCAAGGCUCUCUGUUUGCCCUUUCUGGCCGAGCCUGGGGGUAAGGCUUUUGAUCAUGGUGGGAAUUCUUGGAAAGUUUGCUCUGUUUAAGAAAAGAUUGACACUUUUUCUCUGAAGAUGUCAGAGUAGAUAACAACUUUUGACCUAGAACCCAGACUCUGGUCAUAUUGGACAUCUUUGUCCCUGGAGACUUGCUCUGGAGGAGACCUGCUCAGUGGAUGCCUUCGAGUGUUUCUGUGGUAGUUAGGAAGUUAGGUUCUUUGACACCCAUCCUUGUGAAAGUCUGCUCUUUGACACUGGGCUCUGGUUUUAGUUACAGUCCAGGUUGGUUUCUGUCUUCCUGGUAUAGUGACUGACAUGGGGAGUUUUAGUAGAAAUGAGAUCAGUGGCUUAGAAAUCUUAAUUGUGGAGUUUGUGGCAGGUAUCUAUAAACCGAUCCUGGUCAGCCGAUAAAAGGGAGGCUUCAGGGGUUAAUUUUGGUAUUGAAGACUUGGAAAGUAUCAGAGUUUUAGGUGACUUUGAUGGGGAAGGACUAGGGAUAGGUGUUACUAACUCAUGGUCUGAGAGCAGCUGGUGUGAUGGUAGGAUUUUUCUUCCCAUGGACCAACUCCCUGGACCCCUUUUUAGUUGUUGAGUAAUAUGCCAAAGUGCUUUGGAAAGCUGCUCUGUGCAGUAGAAAAUAAUGUUUCAAUUUCUGCAUUUGAAUCGUAUGAUUCUAAUGACUGUCUUUGUGGUAUCUCAUAGGAACUGUUUCCUGAGGUUUAGAGGCAACAUCUUGUGCAAAAUCUAGUAGUCUUGUUAGAGAGCAUUACCUUGUAGACCUCUCAAGAGUUCACUGGAGAGUGCAGCCUUUUUGGAAAUGUGGAUAUCAAAUUCAUCAGGAGUUGUGGUCCACAGAUGAACCCCAGGCUCUGAGGUCCAUGCUGCUCUUCAGAAAACUGGGACUUGUCUGUGCCAUUGAGCAUUUGGUUGAGGUUCCAAUGCCUCAGCUUUUUUUGGGGGGGUGGGGUGGAGGGUCUGUUUUCAUCUUUUAAAACAUCCUUUUUUUUUCUUUUUAGAUUUAGUUGUUUUGUGUGUGAAUAUUUUGCCUGCAUAUAUGUGUGUGCACUGUAUUCGUACCUGGAGCCCUUAAAGGUCAGACUAGGUCUGGGCCUAGAGUGGACAGUUCCGAGCCACUAUGUGGGUUCUGGGAAUCCACCCUGAAGCCUCAGCUAAGAGUAGCAAGUGCCUGGAGCCACUGGUUGUAGCCAUCUCUCCAGUCCUGCUUUUAUACCUCUAGUUCACUUCUUGUGUUUUCUUUCUUGCCUUGUGGAGCUAGGACCGUGUCCCAUGAAGAGCAAUUCUAAUUGCAAGUGGAGGGAGGAAAGAGAAGUGGCUGACAAGUUGGUGUAGGAGUGCAGCGAGGUCCUGCUUGCACUGAGUGUGAACUAGGGUGAGAUGGUUGUCGCUGAAGUUGCCAGCAGUUUGGAUUUAGCCAGUCACAGGCCAGGCACAAUGGGCCUGACUGAUUCAAAGUAGUUCUUCGAAAGAUUCAAAGUGGCUCUUAAGAAAGACUAAGGAACCUGGUAGAGCGCUGACUGUCAGUUUGCUCCAGCAGAGAACCGAGCCCAGCAGAGCUGUGAUCUGACCACUGUCUUAUGGUAGCUUGAGAGGCCAUGUGACAGCCUAUAGCCACCAUCUCCUCACUUGCAUGUACACUUUCCUGAGGGCCUCCUCAAACCCAGGAAGUUGUGCAUGCAGGAAAGGAGGCGUUUCGUGUGCUUUACUCCUGGCUGUAUUGUUAAGUAGUUGUGAAUUUACCCCAAACUAGAUUCCCCCCUUGCUGGGUGGGUCCAUGUGGUGUGUGUGCACGCAUUUCCAUGUGUGUGGAGGGCAGGAGCAGAGUGCGGUGUCUUCUUCAGUCUCUACUCUGUAAGACUGGGUCUUCACCGAACCUGGGGCCUGCUGAUCUCACUAGGCCUGCGGGCCAGCUCGGCCAGCUCCCUGCUCACCUCCCGCUUCUGGAACCCAGCACUGGGCGAGCAGAGCCCUUCCUUAAGUAGAAUUCCUAAAUUCACAUGUGUGUGCUCACAUACCUGUGUGUGUGAGAGACAGACAGACAGAUCUCUGGGAUUUUACCUCUCUCGUGUGAAUUUUCACAUUUAAACUCAGUGGGGUUCUGGAGUUGUUACUUGUUCAGUAUUUUUUUUUUUUUCUUUUCUUUUUUUUCGGAGCUGGGGACCGAACCCAGGGUCCGCUGAGCUAAAUCCCCAACCCCCAGUAUAUUUUUUUUUUUUUUUUUUUUUUGUUCUUUUUUUUCCGGAACUGGGGACUGAACCCAGGGCCUUGCGCUUCCCAGGUAAGCGCUCUACCACUGAGCUAAAUCCCCAGCCCCCAGUAUUUUUUUUUUUAAUUGGAUAUUUUUUAUUUACACUUCAAAUGUUAUCCUCUUUUCUGGGUUCCCGUCUAUAAACCCUCUAUCCCAUGCCCCUCCCCUUUUUCUAUGAGGGUGUUCCUCCCACCCACCCACCCCUUUCCACCUCCCUGCCCUAACAUUACCCUACAUUGGGAGGUUGAGCCUUGGCAGGACUAAGGGCUUCUUCUCCCAUUGGUGCCCAACAAGGCCAUUCUCUGCUACAUAUGCAGCUGGAGCCACGGUUCUGUCCAUGUGUACUCGUUGAUGGUGGUUUAGUCCCUGGGAGCUCUGGUUGGUUGGCAUUGUUGUUCUUAUGGGGUUGCAAACCUCUUCAGCUCCUUCAACCUUUUCUCUAAUUCCUUCAACGGGGACCCUGUUCUCAGUUCCAUGGUUGGCUGCGAGCAUUCACCUCUGUAUUUGUCACGCUCUGGCAGAGCCUCUCAAGAAACAGCUAUAUCAGGAUCCUGUCAGCAUGCACUUCUUGGCAUCAGCAAUAUUGUCUGGGUUUGGUGGCUGUAUAUAUAUAUGGGCUGGAUCCACAGGUGAGGCAGGCUCUGAAUGGCCUUUCCUUCAGUCUCUGCUCCAAAUUUUGUUUCUGUAUUUCCUCCUAUGAAUAUUUUUGUUCUCCCUUCUAAGAAGGACUGAAGCAUCCACACUUUGGUUUGUCCUUCUUCUUGAGCUUCAUGUGGUCUGUGGAUUGUAUCUUGGGUAAUCUGAGUUUUGGGCUAACAUUCAGUUACCAGUGAGUGCAUUCCAUGUGUGUUUUUCUGUGAUUGGGUUACCUCACUCAGGAUGAUAUUUUCUAGUUCCAUCCAUUUGUCUAAGUAUUUCAUGAAGUCAUUUUUUUUUUAAUAGCUGAGUAGUACUCCAUUGUGUAAAUGGACCACAUUUUCUGUAUCCAUUCCUCUGUUGAAGGGCAUCAGGGUCCUUUCCAGCUUCUGGCUGUUAUAAGUAAGGCUGCUGUGAACAGAGUGGAGCAUUGAGAACUGGAAAGACCACCAUCACCACCACUGAACUGCUUCAGCCUCAGCACAGAUUACUGGUUAACUCAGCUAACAAGGCUGACUCAUGUAAUACACUUGUAGCACUGGUUAAAAGUUAAAAUAGCCAAAUUAUGGCCCAGUUCCCACCCCAACAAAACAAAUCUACUUUUACAGUGCCCUUGGUUUCCUGGCUCAGGAUUCAUAAAUGGGUCGGGUGUUUUUUGUAAUUCUAAAACAGCGUUGAAAGUUAGAUCUUUGUUUUGUUUGAGAUGGGGUAGCCCUGUGUAGUGUCUGUUCUGGAACUCACUCUGUAGACCAGACUAGCCUCAAACUCAGGUCCUUCCUUCUGCUGGGAUCAAAGGUGUGUGACACCAUUGCCCAGCUAAAGUUAAAUUCUUUUAAACAAAUGUAGAAUUAAAAGCAGAACCGUUUUCAUCACUAACCCAUUUAAACCCUGGCCAGCCGGUGGUUUGGGGGUGCGUUUUCUGUGGGGGAAGCCGCAGCUUGCUCAGCUUGCAGUGCUUUGCCCUCCUUCUUGCUCCCUCCCUGAUAGAGGUUCCUACUGACAGUUGGGUUAUAGAGAGCCUGAAGGAAGUGCCUCAAAUCCAAGCAGAGCUCUUGGGACUUCUUUCUCUGGGUGGUGGACCAGCCGUAAGCCAGUUAUAUAUUUGAAUGAAAUGAAAAAUUUGUGUAUUUCUGGGUUAACGGGAGCGGGAGGAAACUGCCCACUGUUUUAAAACAAGGCUUAUGUGAUGGGAGGAAAUGGUGCAACCCCCCUCCCCCAUCUGUAAUUCCAGCUACAGGCACCUCUAUUGCAGCUGAAAGGAAUCGUAAUUGGUGGAGGAAUGUUGCUGCAUCAAGUGUCACUAGGCAGGAACCCUGGCUGCUGGCUGAAAAAGUUUUAAGCUCUCAAAUCAAUAUUGGAGGCUGCCCUAGGGAGCAGAGCCCAGGGCUGGCCCCUUUGGUUAGAGCUAGUGCCUGGAGGCUCCGUCUGUGGACCCUGUCUCCGGAGGACUUUCUGGUGCUGUAGUCAGUGACUUAGGAAUCAGGUGUGAAUCAGUUUUCCCGGAACCACUUCAGUCGAGGAGGGGGAUGUGUAUAAUUAUCAUCAUGUCAUGGCUUGUGGGAGACGCCUCCUUUUCCGUACCCCUCAGAGUCUGACCAGAGUGGGUUAAUAUUUCAGGGAACGGUUGUGAUUUAUUUAUAGCGUAGGUAGGGUAAUGUAAACACAGGGCUGUAGGUGGCUGUUAUGUCACCUCCUUCUUUCCUCCCUCCCUUCCUGUCUGGUAGGACAGACCUUUCCUCUUUCUCCUCAUCAGAGAGAGCAGAGAUCUCCCUCCCCACAGGGCUGGCGCAAGGUUGCUGGCACUUCACUGAUCCCAGCCGUUCCUCCUGCACCUCGUGGCUUGUCGCUUAUAACUUUGUCCUUGUUGCAUGUGAUUUCGUGGUCCAAGGAGGGGCUAGGGUGUGUAGUUUGUAGAGGGGUAGCUGUAGACAGGGCUUUGUUGGUGCCUGUCUAUGCUGGGGUAAAACGGGAUGGUGUGGCUCCUUUGGGCUCAGCUCUGCUCCUGUAACUAACUCCACACCCAUACGUGAGUCCAGUAAACUCAUUGAUUCCCCAAGCUGCACUUGGUUGUCAGGGGUGGGGGUGUUUGUGUCCCUCCUGGGAGGAGCUCUCUGAUGGCCCCAAACCCGUUAUGUAGCUGAGUAGCUUUAAAGUCUCAGCGCUGGGUUCUGCCCGCUUCUGCCUUACUUCCUGAACGCCUCGGUGACAGCUACAGGCAUGAGCUGCCAUCCUGAUCUGUUCAGGCCUGGGCAUCAGACCAGGGCUUCAUGCUGACCCUCUCUCUGCUGAGCUGUGUUCCUGCCUCCUUCAUUUCCUUCUGUGCUGCUGGAGAUUGGAGCCUGGGCCUUGGCCACUCUAGGCCAGUGCUCUGCUGCCACUAAGUGCACCUCUGUCCAGCUGGUAUUCCUCACGCCUACAUAGCCAGGUAGACCAUGACUCUCAGUGAGAACGAAUGAAGGCUGCGACCCUUAAUGCAGUUCCUCACGUGGUGCUGACCCCAGCCAUAACAUUCAUUAUUUCUGUUCCCACUUUAUGACUGUAAUUCUGUUUCUGUUAUGAAUCAUAAUGUAAAUAUCUGAUAUUCAGGAUAGCUGAUAUGGGACCCCUGUGAAAGGGUCGCCCUCUGCUCCCCCCACCCCGUGCCUCCCCACUCCCGCAGGUUGAGAAACACUGAAAUAGACAAUAAAGGUAGUGCUGAGACUUGGAGACAGAAGACAGUCUGUGGAGCUGAUUGGUAACAUGGACAGUAGUCACAAUAUUCACACACAAACACUUUAUUUGCUUUCUGUGUAUUUAGAAAGUUUGCUGGCACAAUAGUGUUGAUGAGCCCAAAUGAGGAGCUCUGUGUGUGUGCGUGUUGGGUGGGGGGCGGGAGAGGGAUGUAUGGCCAGAGGACAUAGUGUCCUGUUCUAUCACUGUCCACUUUGCUUUCUUGAGACAGGGUCUCCCCACUGAGCCAGGAGCUUGGCUGGUGGCUUGCCAGUGUCAUUGGUCCUUCUGCCUCCACCCUCCACAGUCCUGGGGUUACAGGUGCUUCUGGGGCCAUGCCUAGCUUUUUAUGUCGGUUCUGUGUUCUUAUGCUUGCCCAGCCCCCAGCCCCCAGCCCCCAGCAUCAUUUUUAGUGGUGAACCUUGGACAUAUGAUCAGGAACACCUAGCUGACUGGAGGAUUUGCUCCUGACUGUGUUAUCUGGAGAAGGAUGUCAGAAAGUGAGAAAGGAGGCAGCUCUUGUAAAUUGAGUCUAUGUUAUGUUUGGAGACAGGGUUUCCUGUAGCCAAGGAUGACCUAGAACUCUUGAUGGGGAGUCCCAUCUCCCACUGCUAGGAUUUUACAAGCAUGAUAAAUUUAUGUUUUUAAAAAAUCUAGGGGUUGGGGAUUUAGCUCAGUGGUAGAGCGCUUGCCUAGGAAGCGCAAGGCCCUGGGUUCGGUCCCCAGCUCUGAAAAAAAGAACCAAAAAAAAAAAAAAAAUCUAAAAGAUCAGCUAAAAAUCAAUUAUAAGUAAUGCAGACUGUUAGUAAAGUAGCUGGGUGGACAGCUUCUCUCAGGUAAAAAACUGAGGUGAGAGUGCAGUUGGGAAGGCCCUUGUCACCUGUGUGGCUGUGUUAGGUUUGUUCAGAGUCAGUGAGGGAAGGGGCAGGAAUGGGGCACUCGGGGACAUGGAUGGACAGACUACAGGAAAGAGAAGAUGGCAGAUUGCAAAGCCAGGAAACAGUGCUUUGCUUUGCUGCUCUUACACCAUCUCCUAUCCUCUUAUUGUCCCCUCCUUCUCAUCUCCCUCCAGCCUCCCUCCUCCUCUCCACACAGCACCCUCACUUCAAAGAAGAAAGUCUUUGUGUAGCCCUGGCUGUUCUGGAACUCUAUAGGCCAGGCUGGCCUCAGACUCAAGAGAUCCCUCCACGUUCUGCUUCCCGAGUGCUGGGAUUAAAGGUUUGAGCCACCAUCCCUGGCCCAAAUGUAUUGUAAAGACUACAGUAGCAAAAAAAAAAAAAAAAGACUACAGUAGCAUCCCAGCGUAUGCCUAUAUUUUGUGAUGUUUCCUUGCCAAGCAUUAUCCUGGAAACUGUACGGGACAGGAAACUUGGAGCGCCUGCCUUUUGCUUGGGAUAAACUUCUCUUUUGAGUGUUUAUUCUGACACCGCGGCACCCUCCCUCAGUGUUUGCUCAGACUCAGCACCACCUCGCUCACGUAGCUCAUGAGCGGUCUGGGAACCUGGGAUGGAUCUUAAUUCCGAACUCUCCGGUCGUUUGUACCUCUUACUUAUUCAGGGGCAUCUCUGACUUAUUUCUGUGAAAUACUCUGCAUUCCCGUCUGAGGUGCUAGGCGGGAAGUGUUAGUAUUUUUAAAUCUGUGUCAGUGUAUGUCUGCGAGGAGCCUGAAAAGCUUGUUUGUUUUACGUUUAUUUAGUGUGUGGGCAGUGAGGUUGUGGGGUCGGUCGGACACAACAUGUGGAGGUCAGAGAACACCUUUGGGAGUCAGUUCUCUUCUUGUACAUGAGGGUCCCAGGGAUUGAACUGAGAGCUGAAGCCUGACAGCAGGUGUUUUUACCCGCUGCAUCAGCUUGCUGGCCGGACGGUUUUGAUUAUUUGAAUUUCUGAGGUGCCUGGGGAUAUUUUAAUAUCUAAGUCCAUAGACGCAGAGAAAAUGGUAUCUCCUGUGACCAUGUUUUCACUUCUGAGUGCAAGACGGCACUUGGUGGUGACACUCUGGCCCACCACUUGACGGUGUCUCCUAGUUCCCGGGGAGCUGCAGACAGCACCACAGUGGAGCGGAACACCAGGCCCAGCUUACACAGAGCCUUUCCUGUGUGUGCUUUUAUUUCUGAGUGAAAGAAUAGCAUGUGUUUUAUUUUCUUCCCUGGAAGCACAUUGUACCAGAGAGAAAAAGGAUGGUUUCUCGUCCCUAGUGAGAGGACGGGGAAUACAAGGAGGUACACGUAACUGCUGUGCAUGGCUCCCUCCCUUCAGAGUACGUAGUGGUCACGUAUAGGAAAGGGCUGUAUUUAAUCUCUUAGGUCUUAGAGAAGAUAACUUUGAUUUAGAAAUUUAUUGCAGGGAAGUUGAAGGACACUUGGGGUGUCAGUUCUUUAUCCCGCCAUGUGUGUUCUGGGGAUUGAACUCAUAUGGUCAGGUUUGGAGGCCAGCACCUUUAUUGGCUGAGUAUGUUGCCAGCCCAAUACUUCUAAACCGAAGCAGUCUUAAUAGAAGCCCCUUUUUCUCCCCACAGUCCUACAAGGUUGGAAAUUUAAUGUACAUGCUUGUUAUUUGUUUAUUUCUUUGGUUUUGUAUAGAGUUUUACUAUUUAGUCUAGACUGGCCUUGAACUUAAAACCCUCUUUAUUCAACUACCUGAGUGCUUGGAUUACAGGUGUGUGCUAUCAUGUGUGAUUCUUAUUAGAUGUUUUAAGCCUAACGUGGCUGGAAGGUAUUGAUUUAUUUGUCUGUUUAUUUAUUUUGUGCUUGUAAUCCCACCUAGAGCCUUGUGCAUGCUAGCCAAGUGCUCUCCCACUGAGCCACGCCCCCAGCCCCUCACUGGGGGAUUCUAGGCAGGGGCUCUACCACUGAGCCACACCCCAGCCCCUCACUGGGGGAGUCUGGGCAAGCACUCCACUAUUAAGCUAUAUCCCUAGCCCUCAGAGGGUCUUUUUGAUUCUUUUUCGCUCACCAAGGGAAUCAAGCCUCCUGCAUUCUUUAUUUCAUUAAAUUUUCCCAGUUGCUCAGCUAAAACCUCCAGCUUGUCCCUCAUACCUGAUUUAUUCCUGGGCCUCUGCCUCUCGUGUUGGUGUUUAUCUGUGCUCUAUCCUCUCCUUGCCCCCCACCAUGGUAAAAGUCUGAUCCUCUCUUGCUUGCACAGCUUCCUUUUUUUCCCUGUCUAAUACAGAUGCUCUCCAGUCACUAACACCAUCAGCUACCAUGUAACUACCUUCGCUGUGUCAGAGAUGGUCAGAGUGGUUACAGCUGGGUAUGGCCGUGGGCAGUGGCUGCUUGUAGUCCCAGCAUACAGACCUACAGGCAUCAGAACCACCAGUUUCAGACCAGAUGGGCCGCAUAGUAAGACAUUUUAAAACAAAACAAAGCUCAGGAAAGGGAGGGCGUGUGGGGAAGGAGGUUGUAGACGUUCUUGUUCUCGAAGCUUUGAAGUAGAGCUGGGUGGAGACUGGCCAUUGACUCCACCUGUUCUCCUGCUUCAGCCUUUGCCCUUGCUGUCUGUCUCCUCCUACAGCAGGUCUGCUGAGGCUGGCCAGUGGUCUGUGUCACUGUGAGGUGGAACUCCAUAAGCUGGUGACUUAGCGAGGGCCAGAAACAAGCUGAAUCACACCCAGGGCAGCUGCACAGGACGGUACGUCCCACACCCAGGAAGCCAGACUGAAGACUUUCAUUUGACACUUGAUUGUGCCAAGUAGGCCUGGGUGCACACGUCUCCUGGGUUGGGCUCUCGGUGUCUGUGCGUCGAACUAAAGAUGAGAGCGGCUCUGGAGUGUUUGUGUGUGGGUAGAGGUAUUUUAUUUAUUUAGCGCAGUUGCUUUAGUGCUUAUGUGUCUGUAUGUGCAUAUACAUAUGAGUACAUGUGGAGGUCUUCCUGACAGAGUCCUUCACAGACCCAGAGCUCAUCUUCAUAACCCCAGGAUCCCAUAUCUCGGCUGCCCAAGCACCUGGAUUACAGGCCUCAACUACCCCUGCCCACCUUCGUAGCUGGGUUCUGGGAAUCCAAACUCCGGUUCUCAUGCUUGUGGGCAAGCUGCCUCAUCCCCUGAGCCUGCUCCCCGGCCCUGUGCUGUGUUGUGUAACAAGCUUGCAUCUAGAUCGGUGGCUCUCCGGCAAGGGUCUUUGCUUUCUCAAGAGCCCCCUGAGGUGUUUGCACACAUUUCCAUCCGUCGUGACUUUGUACAUGCUUUUGGUUGUAGUGGGUGAAAACGGCUGCUGAAUGGCCUGCUCCUUUGCAGACCUCACAUUGAAAAUUCAGUUCACAUUGUGAGCGGUGAUGGAGAAAUCUAGGUGUCGGUUGAGAAACGGCGUGGUUGUGUAAUGUGGAGACCCGACACUGUAAAUCUUUGUGUUCAAGCACAGACAUAAUAGAGAAUUACUAUUGUAAUGGAAUCUGUGGUCCACGUUGUGGUCGAAUACACUAAACAAGUACAGGCAGUGGAAGGACACAGUGGGGAACUCCCUGCUGCAGUGGCCCCAGCCUGUGCUUUUCAGCUUCUGUCUCCUCAGCCCCCUAGAUUGUCACUGUCUGGGGGAGCAGCCUGGCCUUGAAUUCCAUAUUGAUGGGCUCUCGUUGUGACUUCUUGUCCCUGUCUUCUUCAGGUCACCGUCAUGUUUGUGAGAUUUGCGCACACAGUGUGCUUAUGCAUACUCGCCCCCUUUGCUGCCUGGUACUCUGUGACAUCACUUAUCAUAAGGGAGGACAAUUCUGUGCCUGUGUGCACGUGUGUGUGUGUGUGUGUGUGUGUGUGUGUGUGUGUGUGUGCAUGCGUGCAUGUGCAUGCAUGUGUAUGCAUAGCCCAAAGAACCAUCUAGUACAUUGAGCCAGGGUCUCUCAGUUUACUCUGUGCCCUUCUUUACUCUCAGCUCCCAGCCUGCCUCUGUAGCACAGGGGGUCUCUUCCAGCAGAGAUCUACUUUGCUCCCUCUUUCCUAGGUCCUUCCUGAUUGCUGUGAGAGGUAGGCACAUUUCCAGCAGGAUACUGCCUCACUCUGAAUCCAUAACACCCCUGUUGAUGUUGGUGACUGCCCCGGCCCAGUCUGAUUGUUUUUCAAUUAAAUUCUCCCGAAGGGUUAGGGGCUGUCAUUGACACUCACCUUGCCUCCAUUCUUUGGCCAAGGUUUGCUUUUGUUCUGGUUUCCAUUUAAGGUACGAUUUUUUUCCAGUUAUUUUUCAAAAACAGGGUAUUUUCAGAUUUACGUAGCAGAAAACCUAGCUUUAAUUGGUUCAACAGGGAGACUCUUGGUCUGUUAAUGAAACCAUCCUGAAGCAGCCGCAGUGGCCUGGGAGGGCCUGACUCCUCUCCAUUUCUUCUUCUUGGGCUCUAAGGUGGCAGUUGGGGGCAAACAUGUGACUCAGUUGGUAGAGUGCUUGCCUGCAUGUCCAAACUCCAUCCCCCGCACCACGUAAAGGUGGGGCUUGCCUGUAAUCCCAGCACUUGGAAGGUGGAGGCAGGAGGAUCAGAAAUUUACUUAAGGAGUUUGAAAUAAGCUUGGGCUACAUGAUCCUGUCUUAAAACAAACAAAAACCCUUCUUGUGACCCCUAAACAGAGAAAGGAGGAUGCUGGGAGUUGAGAAUUGUUAGCCUGAGAGCCAACAAAGACUUAACAGUCAGCUUUGUGACUGCUGGGCCUUGGGUUUGAGCGCUCUUGAAGUAGUGUCUCUGGGAUACCAGGUUUGUGUGCUGGGUGUAAGGACAGCGAAGGCUCCAUUUAGUGCUGGUCUGGAGAAGCAGUAGGCUUCUUUGUAGUGCUAUGAAUGGAGCCAAAGACGUUUGCUUGUAGAAGCGCCAAGAAUCUUUGCUAGGUUAGGAAUGGUCUGUGUGAGUCUACCUCGGUGAGCUUUGUGUCAUGACUAUAACUUGUUUCUGGAUUAAGCCAGGUGUGUUGGUACAUAGCUGUAAUCCCAGCUUUCAGGAGGCUGAGGCAGGAGGGUCUGGAGUCAAGGCCAUCGUGGACAACACAGGACACCCUGUCUGAGAACAAAUGUGUGAUUCUUUACUUGGGACUACCCAGAAUUUAGGUCCAGACACUAAGAAUGCCUUUUAACGUUGUUUCUUAGAACUGGGCAUUUCUGAGGAAGAACAACAGAUCACUACAUGAUCAUUGUUCUAAGCUGAAUUUAGCAUGAUUGGAAAGGGUAAUUUAGAUUUUUAUACAAAAUAUAGGUUUUUCGGGUUGGGGAUUUAGCUCAGUGGUAGAGCACUUGCCUAGCAAGCGCAAGGCUCUGGGUUCGGUCCCCAGCUCCGGGAAAAAAAAAAAAGGAAAAAAAAAGAAAAACAACAACAACAAAUAUGUAUGUAUGUAUGUAUGUAUGUAUGUAUGUAUGUUUUUGUUUUUUGGUAAAUGAUUUUAACCCUGCCUGAUAACCUGAGUUCACUCAGGCCCACAUGGAAGGAGAGAACGGACUUUUGCAAGCUGCCCUCAGUUCUCCACAUAGAGGCUGUGGUACAGGCACACACAGAUGCUAGAAUCUCUGGGCAUGGUGGUACACACUCUUUUAAUCCUGCAGAGGCAGAUGGAUCUCUGCGAGUUCGAGGCCAGUGUGGUCUACAUACUGAGUUCCAGGACAGCCAGAGCCACAUAGUAAGAGGGUCUCAAAAUAGCAACAGAACAAAACCGAGAGUGAAUGUCUUCCUUUUGACAGGGUCUCGUUCUGUAGGUCUAACCUUGAACUUGGGGCAGCCCUGCUACCCAGCCUCUCAGGUUCUGAAAACCGGGGCGCCUGGCUUGUUCUUGGUGUGUGUGAGCAUUUAUUUAUUGAUGUGUACUAUGCCACAGCAUCUGUGUGGAUGUCACAGGGCCACUUGCAGGAGUCAGUUCUCUCUUUUCAUGCUGGCCUGGGAUUGAACUCAGGUGAGCAUGGCCUGGGAGAGCCAUCUUAAGCCUUUAGACCAGUCGCUCAUAAUCUGUGGGUCAUGACCCCUUUGGGUAUUGGAUGACCUUUUCACAGAAGUCACCAAAAGGCCAUUGGAAAACACAGACUUAUAUCAUGAUUCAUAGCACUAGCAAGAUUACAGUAUGAAGUAGCAACAAAAAUAAUUUUAUGGUUGGGGGUCACCACCACAUGAGGAAUUGUAUAAAAAGUUUGCAGCAUUAGGAAGGUUGAGAAUCACUGCUUUAGACAGUCUAUGUCCAUCCUUACUGCCUGGUCAUGUCUGUCUGUCUGUCUGUCUAUGUAUCUGGAUCUAUCUCUCAAUCUGUAUCUUGAGACAGGGCCUUGCUAUGUAACUCUGGCUUGGAACUCACAAAGAUCUACUUGCUUCCGCCUGGGAUCAAAGGCUUGCACCAUCAUGUCCAGCAGCCAUGGCUACAUUAAAAAAAACAAAACAAAACAAAAACAGAACCAGAACCAGAAGCAAGAGAUGUGUGUGAAGGAUACUUAGAAGUAGCUGAAAGUUUGGGAUGAAGGAGACAUCCCUACAUCCUGCUGGGACCCAGUUAGUUCUCCACAGGGGUCGGGUGCUGUUCCUACUACCUGAUCUCAGGGAAUCCAGUGUGACUUUGAGAGUCACACCCCUGCCUGUGUGCCACUAAAAAAGAAACUCCAGCAAUGACAAUCCACCAUCCAUUGGAAGACAUCAGACGAGCCAAAGUCCGGGUUGGUGGUAGGUGGCGUGUGGGUCCUCUGACUGAAAGUCCUGAAGACUGUUUGCAUGUCAUGGAGUAAUGCCACCUGCCCUCAGCUUAGACACAGCACGGGGAGAGUGCGGUUUCUUUCUUAUCUGUCUCUCUCUGCCUCUGUCUCUGACUCUCUGUCUCUCUGUCUCUCUCUCUCUGUCUCUCUCUCUCUCUCUGUCUCUCUGUCUCUGUCUCUCUCUCCCUCCCCCCCUUCUCUCGUCUCUUCUGUCUGUCUGUCUGUCUGUCUGUCUGUCUGUCUCUCUCGCUCUCUCUCUCUCUCUCUCUCUCUCUCUCUCUGGUACUAGACAUUGGGUUUGGUCCUGUGGGUUGCAGUGUUGGAAAUUAACACGAUGAAUUAUCUUAGGUUUAAGUGAAGGGUUGGAUGACCCUCCAGAGAGGCAUGGGGCAUCAUUUGCUUUUCUUUUUUAUUGGAUAUUUUUUAUUUACAAUUUGAAUGUUAUUCCCUUUCCUGGUUUCCCGUCCAUAAGCCCCCCCCCCCCGCCAUCUCCUCCCUCUCCCCCUUCCUCAUAAGGGUAUUCACUGGCUUUCUUUAGGAAAAAAUAUGUGUCUGAGCCAUGUUUUCAGAAACCUUGUAGGGAUUGUUGACAGACCUGUUUGGAAGCUGAAGGCGGGGGCGGGGGAGGGGGCGGUGCUGCCCAUCACCUUUUUAAUGAUUCAGGGUUCUUGGCAGAAAGCCCGCCCUGGAAAACACCUUAGCUACCUCCAAACACUUGCAGCUCUGGAGAACAGUGUUGGUGUUUGAGAGCGGUGUAUCCUGCACAGCUGGGUUUCCACUGUGAGUUAACCAUGGGUCGUGUGCUGCAGGGGCUGAGUCCCAGGCCGCCCAGCAGCCGCGUGGUGUGGUAGAGUUGCUGUAGGACCCAUUACAUGGUUAAUGUAGGCUGUCCUGGAACUCUGACCAGGCUGGCCUCCAACUCAGAUCUGCCUGCCUCUGCCUCCGUUGGGAUUAAAGGAGGGCACUCCUUUAAUGCUGCCCGGCGGCAUCGUUUCUAUUAAGAGCCUGACUGUUGAGUGCCAUGGAUGGUACCCAUACACAGCUAGCUUUUAAAGUCAGUGUCUCUCUCAUCAUGUAGGUCUGGUUGGCCUGGAAUUUACAGAGAUCCACCUGCCUGCCCGAAUGCUGGGAUUGAAGGCGGGUCCCACCAUCUUAAAAAAAAGAGAUCCAUUUCUUAGUGUUAGUAUCCAAUGAGUCACAGAAGUUGUUCCAGGGCCUGACCUACUGACUUCCUGCAUUAUUUGUGGCUUACUCCGUUGGUUCCAAACUGCCAGGUUCUACCUUAAAGACAACCACAGGAGGGGCAGGUACCUUGUUGGGCCACUUUGUCUUGAGCACAUUUGGCAUGUAAAGUUUUGAAUUCUUUUUUUUUUUUUUUUUUUGGUUCUUUUUUUUUUCCGGAGCUGGGGACCGAACCCAGGGCCUUGCGCUUCCUAGGUAAGCGCUCUACCACUGAGCUAAAUCCCCAGCCCCAAGUUUUGAAUUCUUAAAAACUUGUUUUGGAGACAGAAUCUUACUAUGUAGGUCAGGCUGGCCUGGAAGUCUUUUUUUUUUUUUUUUUUUUUUUUUCUCUUUUCUUUUUUUUCCGGAGCUGGGGACCGAACCCAGGGCCUUGCGCUUCCUAGGUAAGCGCUCUACCACUGAGCUAAAUCCCCAACCCCUGGAAGUCUUGAUGGUAGCCUCAGGGUCCUAUGUUUGGGGUUGACAGGAAUGUGAUACCAUGCUCAGCUUGUACUGGAGUAUGAUUUGAAGAUGUUGGUUAUAGUUUUUUAAAGGUGAUUCCAGCUGAUGUGGUGACUUAAUGUCUGUAGGUGGCCCUAGCACCUACAUGUGAAGAAGGAGGGAUCAGGGCCAGCCUGGGCAACUUGAGGCCAGCCUGGGCAAUGUAAGACCCUGUCCAAAACCAAACUAAAUCCAACUAGCAAACAACAACAACCAAACUCAAACCAAUGUGUGUUUUAUGUUUUAAUGCAUCCUGAAUAGAUGUGCUGUCUUCUCAAAUAAAGAACCCAACAGGGUUUACUUGCCGAAUUUUGUAUAGGGCUCACCAUAAUAGGAUCAAAAAUAGACUUUUCUUUAGGAGAGGAAGAGAAAAUGACACCUAAUUUGAAAUAAAAGGGAAACUACUCUCUGCGGGGGAGAGUUAACCAGCCAGAAUCUUCUCAUCACCUGUGGAUCAGUGUGGCUUAGACCGAAGCUUCCCAGCAGGCUUUGCAGGAAACAGGCUUUUGCUGGUGCUGCCCCAUGGGUUCAGCCCCAGCAGGGUGAGUCAAGAGUUCAGUAGUUCAAACACCAGCAUAGGCUGAGCUUUACUUAGAAAAGAAGGACUCAUUAAUCAGAAGUGAAUGCCUCAUAGCCUGGAAUUUAUUUUAGUUAGCGUCUGUAAAUAGACAGUGCCUGCCAGUGAUGGAGGGGGCUACCAAGGACUGGCAUGCAGUUUGUUCUAGAGUGCUGGCUCGACCCACACAAGCCCUGGCUGACUUCAGUCCCCAGGAGCUUGCAGAUGAGGGUACUGGUCACCCUAGCCUUUGCCUUUUCAGGUAACGUUGACAAAGGAGUGUGCCUGAGUGGCUCAGUAAGACCCAUGUCUUCUUUCCCAUUUCUUGAUUGCUUUGCUGUUUAGUGGGACUAGCUUGUGGGAGGUGGCUUAUCCCCCUUUGGGACCGAGAGGUUACGUGAUCCCACUCUGUGGUGGAGUAUCCUGAGGCUCUGUAUCAUGAUGGAUUCUCUCUCAGCCUGGGUUCCCAUGAUCAUCUGGAGCUGAGAUGUUCCUUCCUGUCCUCCCCUAGCCGACUGGUACUGGGCACCGGAACGGCAGUGUGAGCGGGAGCCAGCCCUUGUUAUAUUAAUUUGUUUCUGUCAUCUCAGCCCCUCCCGACUGAUACAGCCUGUUCAUUUUUGGCAGCUGUGAAAUGCAUGAUACUUUGAAUGAACCCAGUUCAGAUGAUCUGAUAGUUUGUUAAAAGACAAAGAACAUCUAAUUGAAGAAUAACAAUUUUAAACAAACACUAAAGUCCUUCCCCGCAAAUCAAUAUGCUCCAAUGGGUGUUUUGUAAAACAAACAAACCCCCAAACCAAAACCCCCACCUACUUGUUAAAAAAUAUAAAGGAAAAAUAAGUAUUAUUUUACUGGAGUUCAAAUCUUCAUUCUUGGACAUGAUUUUUAUAUUAGAAUAUGGAGUUGUCAGGUUAUAUCUAAGGGAAAAUGAACAUGGAAGCCACAUCUAUGGGCUGGCUCCUUGCAAGCCAGACUCACAGGAUGAAGGGAAUUGACAGAGCUCCUGUGUGCUCCCAGUUCAGUCACAGGACAGAGGUGGGAGAUGCUGACAAAGCUGAGAGGCCUUAAAAAGUGUUAGGUUGGAAGGGAAAGGUUGGGGGUCUGAGCUGCUGGAGAGGUGACUCUCAGGGCAGUGGGAAGGCCUGGAUGGGCAGAGGGACUGUGCACAAAGGUAUCCGCCUCGGGGUCAGCAGAGGUGAAGGGUCAAAGUGGGAAGGGGUGGCAGCUGAGGAUUGGAGCAGGGAGGGGAUUGGAAAGAAGGGGCGCAAUCCUUUAGCAAAUGGGAUGGCUGAGAGGUAGGCCCCAGGCCCAGAGGUGAAGGACCUGGGUCCUAACCUCGGCCUGGCUGCCGUCUAGCUGUGGGGAGUGGUAGGAAGGACACACAGAGCCCUCACUCUGCUGCUGCUGUCACUUGGACAGGAGCCUAGUGACAGAUUGUUGUCUAAUGAGAGAAUAAGUUCCCCCUUCCACAAAGUAGGACUUGUCACGUUCAUUACUCUGCUUCCUCAAGUGCAGGCUGACAGUCUCCCAGGUGUUUUACAAACCCAUAUCUAAUACACAGUCUAGCUAAUACCAGUGCUGGGGGAUUCAGCACCCUCUCUUGGUCUCCACAGGCACUGUACUCACAUGUGCAUACCCACAUAGAUAAAUACAUAAGAUAAAAUAUUUUUUUUCUUUUUGGAGCUGGGUACCGAACCCAGGGCCUUGCGCUUGCUAGGCAAGUGCUCUGCCACUGAGCUAAAUCCCCAACCUGAUAAAAUAUGUUUAAAAACUUAUUUUAUUGCUUUUAACAAUGUAUGUGUAUGUGGGUACAUGCGUAUAAUGUGCUGGGUCAUGUAGAGGUCAGGUGUAGGUUCCCCCUGAAGUUGGAGGUACCGGAAGUUGAGCUGCCCCAAGCAGGUGCCCCAAGCAGCUGCCCCAAGCAGGUGCCCCAAGCAGGUGCCCCAAGCAGGUGCCCCAAGCAGGUGCCCCAAGCAGGUGCCCCAAGCAGGUGCCCCAAGCAGGUGCUGGGAGUCAAGGUUGGAUCCUCCAGGGGAGCAGUGUGCACCACUGAACCAUCUCUCCUGUCCUGAAAUUAAGUCUUUUGAAAGACACUUGUUUAAUAACUAGUGCUAGGCGGUCAGGCAGGUGAAAGAGGAAAGGCUGAGGUAGAGAAGGGAAACACUGUUGCCAGUUCCAUAUUUUGUACAAAGUUAAUUUCCUGAUUGGGUUUGGGCCUUGUAGUUAGAGAAGAUUGAAAGGUAACUAGAAAAACUGCAGCCACUGGGCUGGGAUGGCAGAGAUGGGGAGGAGUACUUGUAUGUAAGCCUGAGGAACCAGGUCCAGGCCCUAGCACCUAUGCAGACAGCAUCAUCUCGAAUGCUUUGGAACCACAGGAGGGUCCCUGAGGCUUGUUGGCUGCCAGCCUAGCCUGGGGCUUGAUGAGUGUCCUCCGAGGCCAAGGCUUUGGAAGUGCAGUUGGCCUUCCUCGACAAUCCUGCUGGCUCACUGUGUCUGCUUCCUUAAACCCAUCUCAUAAGUUCUAAUUGGAUCUGGACGGCGCUCAUUCAGUGGGUGGUAAGCUGGUAUUUGUGUGGUGAUCUUCCUCCCUCCCUUUUUGGCUCAGGGCCUGAUCCACUUGCACUCAGAUACUACAGGGAAGGCUAGAGAAGGCUAGAGUGUGCAGGCUUGAGUGCUUAGUGUGGGGAGGCAGAACCUCCAGAAGCUUCUCUCCGUUUCCCUUCCCUCCGAUCUGCACCGGCCCACUCAAGCUACAGCCAUGCUGCUUUCACAUCCAGUGCUUGGUUCUCUCUCUCUCUCUCUCUCUCUCUCUCUCUCUCUCUCUCUCUCACACACACACACACACACACACACACACACACACACAUAUUCUAGAACGGGAUACCAUCAAGGGCUAGCUUUAUGCUUCAGGAUCAGGACAUAAUUCUUUGGGGGAGCUUUUCUCAUGGCCCCCUUUUAUGGAAACAAGGUUAGAGUUAAGUGUUUUGUCUUAAAAAUUAUAUGUAUCUGUGACUCCAUGUGGGGAUGUGCAUUAGCAUACGGUGCCAGAGGCCAGAAGAGGGCGUUGGAUCCGGGGAGCCGGAGCGGCAGGCACGAGUGAACCGCUUGGUGUGGGUACUGGAAACUAAAAUAGGUUCUUCUAGAAUAGCAGCAAAUGCUCUUCACCAAUGAGCCCGCUAUCUCUCCAGCCCCUGAUUCAGUGUGUUCUAAGGUGAACGUGUCUGUUGGGUUUUUUUUUUUUUUUUUUUUUUUUUUUUUUUUUUGGGAGCUGAGGACUGAACCCAGGGCCUUGUGCUUGUUAGGCAAGCGCUCUACCACUGAGCUAAAUCCCCAACCCCCUCUGUUGGGGUUUUUAAUCCCUGGCAUGUAAACCACGUGUGCCGAUGCAUGGCUGUGCUCAGGGGGCGCAGGGAGGGACCAGAAAAUGAGAGGUAUCCUUGGCUACAUGGAGAAUCGGAGGCCGGCCGGGCAGAUCCCAUCUCUAAGGCAGCAAGGCAGACGCAGGAGAGCACACUGACUUGGCAGUGUAGACAGCAGAGCUCUGUCCACCAUUAGGUUCCUGUUGUUUCCCUGAGCAGGAAGUGCGCUGCUCGCCCUCAUCCCGUUUCCUCCUUUACCAACCUCGGAGGCAGCUUGGUUUCCCGUCCCCAUUUUGGAGACACGCAGGGCAGUGGAGUCUGAGGCCCAUUCUAACUCACACCCCUGCCUUUGGGCACAUUGGGAGGUUCAUCUCUCAGCUCAGACAAUCCCUCCCUACCCAUCGGAGUGGCAAGGCUCCCUGAGGAAACACACACACACACACACACACACACACACACACACACACACACACACACACACACACACACACACGCACUCAGCAGUGGAUGCUUAGCUCCCAGCAGGGACUGGCCUUGCCCGGGCUUGCUUGCCUGAGGUGUUUUUGUGAAGGUGGACUCACGCUAAAUGCUGCAUGGUGCCCUGGCUUCUUAACUGUACAAACUGGAACUGGAGGAGAGAUUGUGUCUGAUACACAUAGCCCAGAUGGACCUCGAACCUUGCCUCUUCUUUCCCUCUGCUGGUAGAUGCUAGGAUUAGAAGCCUGCACCACCAUGCUUGGGCUGGGUUUUCUGUGGUGCUGGGUAUGGAACUUGGGUAUCCAAACUAGACCCUUAUAGUCAGUUAUAGUCAGCUUGGGAAUCCUUUGAUCUGUCCUGGAGGGAUCGGUUCCAAGAGCCCUGAGAGAAGGGACGUGAAAUUUUGAUUCUAGGACUGAGUUUGCCUGUGUGUGAACGGGUAAGGUUAGUCAUGUUUCCAGAAUUCUGAAGAUGUAAGCCAUGCCUGACGGCGCACACCUGCAGUUUUUGCACUUGGAAGGCUAAGGCAGAGUUGUGAGCUCAGUACCAGCCUGGCCACAUAGCAAGACCCUGGCCAAAAAAGAAAACAAAGCAAACCAAACAACAACAAAAACCAACCCAAAAAACCCCAAUCAAAUGAAAACUAAAAGCUGGCCACUCUGGUCCCUGUCUUUCCCCGGGCAGUCGUUGCUAACGGCAUGGAUAAUGUCCUAGGCGGUACAGUGAGGGCAGCUGUACAGUAGCCCCAGGUGGGAACCUGUCUGCCAGCAACACUCAUUCCCACGGGCCCUUGGCUUUGUCUGAGUGUUGGUGCCCAGGAGUCUAGACUCCUCUUGGCUGUGGUGCUGAAGUUUGAUCUCUCAGCCGUGUUGGUGAAGUGUGAGUGGACACCAGCCUGCUGCCACGGGCUGUGAGGAGACCUAUUGGGCAGGGGCACCAGGAAGCUUUCUCCUAGUGGCCAGAGACCCCAGGCAUUUCCUGGGCUGCUGUUUACAGGGGUUCAGCUUUGUUCACAGAGUGGGAGCCCAGUCCAGGAAUGUUUCCCAGCGGUCUAGGGGUGGGGUGAGGAGGCUUAACAACCAGAAACUUCUUUCUUUCCUUUCUGCACAGCUUGCAAGAGAGAAGCUCCUUUGGAGCAGGAUAGGUUGAUAAUUUUAGAAGAAUAUGGACUGUUCUUGUUUUAAGUUGGUAACGGUAUAUCCCCAAUCAGGUUUUAACUUAGUAUUCGUGUUCUUUUUUUAAGAGUGCAUUAAUCCUAGCCAGGCAUGGCAGUACUGGUGCACCUUUGGUCACAGCACUCAGGAGGCAGAGGCAGGGGGAUCUCUGUGAGUUUGAGGCUAGCCUGUUCUACAUUUGGAGUUCCAGGCCAGUCAGGGCUACUUAGUGAGAGCCUGUCUCAAAAAACAAGACAAAACAACCCCCCCCCCCAAAAAAAAAAAACCAAAACAUUCAUCUUGACAUUAUCAUUUUCAAGUUUGUCCCAUAAGUGACCCAUCCCCCCCUCACUGACACUGCUACAGAGCAGUCCCCGCUGUCAGGAAAAGCCCUGUAAAGACUGUUCCCUUUACCUUAUUGUCCCAUUUGCCAAAAGAUUUAUGUGUCUUUGGCCCCUUGGAUCACUGGUUAGGAUGUGGUAAGGGCAGAGCCAGGGUGUUAGGCUGGGAAGCUCAGGCUUCCUUCCUUAGCCUCCGUGCACUGCUUUGUGUUUGGAAGUUGGGUGUCUCUUCUUGACACACUGCCGUGUGUGGGCUCUGAGCAGCAUGGCUGGCAAGGGUGGUGCAAGUCUUGAACCUAAAUUUAGAUUCCUUUAGAGGCCACGGAAGCAGCGCUUCUUCAGACUCACCGGCUUCCAUGCCGCUCGCUGCGCAUCUCCCUCGGGAGCUGAGAGUGAAGAUGGGGCUGGGAGAGCUGCCUUUGUGGACAUCCCUGGGGACUCUGUUGGGAGGGAGAGCUGGUGAGAUGGCUUGGAGAGUAAAGGCAUUUGCUGUCCAAGCCUGAUGACUGAGUUCCGGAACUCCUGUGGUGUCAGGAGAGCACUGACUCUCUAAGUCCUCUAAGUCCAUGUGCAUGCUGUGGCACUGUCCACAUCCCCACAUAAAUACAACAUGUUCAAAAAGUAGGGGCGAGUACUGGUCCAGCAUGAAACACACACACACACACACACACACACACGUACAUACACAUACACACUCACAGGCACACACACACACAGGCACGCACACACACACACACACACAUACUUACAGGCGCACACAGGAUUUGGUGGCAGUCUAGCCCAUAAGUACUCCAUGUAUGUGGGUGUUCAUGAGUUUUUAUUUUGGACUCACUGUCUUCUGUUGGGCUGUAAUACUUCACCCUGGUUGAUCUGUUUGCCUGUUAUGGUAGCUUCUCGGUAAGUUUUGACCUAGGGGGUGAAAGUCCCUUUCUUCUUAGUGGUUUUCUUGUUGUGUUGUGUUUUUUCCAAGUUAGCUGCAGCUGAUUGGAAUCCCUGUGAUUCCAUAUGGAUUUUAGCAGGAGGGUACAGUUCCUGUGUUUAAGAGGAAACUGGGGCUUAGGGAGAGGUUGUUUGGUCUCCAGGCUGACUCAGAGUGUGUUGCCGUUUCUCUGUUACUAACUCCGACUGUUAAUGAACAUGGGCUAUCCUUCUGUCCCGCCAUCUUUGAUUUCUCCCAGCAGUGGGUGGCAGUUUAUAGAGUGUGUUGUGAGUCUUCUCUGGUUGAGUUUGUUCAUCUGUGUUCUUCUCUUUUGUGUGCUACUGUAGAUGUCCUUGUCCUUGGUUUCAUUAUGGUUUGCCACUGCUAGUGUGUAGGGUACAUUUGGAUUUAGUUUCACGGAGUUCACUCCUCGGUUGGCUCGGUUUUGUGUAUGGGUGUUCUGUUUGCAUGUGUGUUUCUAUGUAUGGGUCCCUUAGGGUUCCCUGUGUGUGGCAUCAUUCUUGUGUGAAGAUUUCUUUCUGAUCUGAAUGCCUGUUGUUUGACAAGAGCAGACAAUCUAGUCUUAUUCCUAGAAGGAGGUAAUCCAGACCCUCCCCAGUGCAUGUGAUGUCAGCUAUGGGCUCUGCAGAUGCCCUUUCUGUUUUACUUCUGGUUAUACCACAGUUUUACACGCUCGCACACAUCUAUACGCACGCACGCGCGCACACACACCCAUUCUAAUACAAUGUGUUAUACCCCUGCCUUCUGUAUAUGGAAUGACAUUCUUCUUCCUGGAGUGCAUCCCUGGGAGGUGGUACUAGGGCUCUCCACACAGGGCUGUGUUCAGCUGGCUAGUGUUGUGCAGGAGCGUCUGCAUCUGUGCUCCCAAGGACGCAGGCAGACACGGCACUGACAGCUGGGCCUGCACUGCUGUGUCUUAAGCACUGCGAUAAUUCGUCUUCAGUUCUUUCUCUGGGGAAUUUCUAAUUUGCCUCGUCGCUGUCCCUGCGUGCCGUGGCACUCAUGUAGAGUUCAGAGGAUAGUCGUAGGUGUCAGACUUUGCCUUCUACCCUGUUUGAGACAGGGUCCCAUCACUACCGUGUCUGUGGCCUGGCCGGUUGGCUGUCUGGAGAUAGAUGUCCUGGGCACUCUCCCAUCCCCAGUAGGACGCUUGGGCUAGGGCGGUGUGCUACAGUGGCCGGCUUUCUAGGGAUCUAGCUUCGGUGCACGCAUCUGCACAGAGCACCGCCUCCCAGCCCCUCUCCUGGUCUGUUCCCUGGAGUUAAAUGCUCUGCUUAUUUGCCUCGUGCAGACAUCCCGGUCUCCUGCAGGAUGAGGAGAAAGCUAAUGACUUCACGAGUGCACAGCUCUGCAUCCCCUUCUGCAGGCCGAGGAGGUGCUUAAUGACUUCAGUGUCUUAAACUUGAUUGAAAUUGUCUGUGGCCUAACUAGUCACACCUUGGAGAAUGUCCUGUCCACCCUUUUUUUUUUUGGAGCUGGGGACUGAACCCAGGGCCUUGCGGUUGCUAGGCGAGCGCUCUACCACUGAGCUAAAUCCCCAACCCCUGUCCUGUCCAUUCUUAAUGAGGAUGUGUCCUCUGUUAUUGCUGGGUAUUCUGGAGCUGUUAGAGCUGUCGGCUCUAUGAUCUUGUGUAAGUCUUCUGUUUCCUUGCUGACCCAUAUGGGUUUUCUGUCUAUUACUCCAACGAGUUGACAUCUUCAGCAGCCAUUGGAGGGCCAUGUGUUCGCCCAUGGCUCUGCCAGUCUGUCCUGCAAGUGUUUGAGACUUUGUACUUAGUGUACAUACAUGUUUGUCAUUGUUCUAUCUUCUUGAAAAUGGACCUACUCAUCACUACAAAAGAAUGGUCGUCCCUGUGACAAUUUUUGGGCUUCGAGUGUUUUUGAGCUGGCAUUAAUACAGUUGUCCCAUUUGUUGGAGGUCACAUUUUGUGGAGAUGAACUGUUUCUAGCAUUUCACCUUCAGCCUGUUUGUAUUCGGGAUUGAAGAGGGAUCUCUGGUAACCCAGCAGCAUAUUGUGAAUCAUGUGUUGUAAUCUGUCCUGGCAAGCUCUACCUUUAAUCAAAGAGUUUAACUUAUUGUGUUCUUGUGCGUGCCUUAUUUUUGGAGAGUUUUGCUGGAGAGAUUUUAGUACUUAAGAACACUUGCUGUUUUUGUAGGGACUGGAUUUGUUUCCAGCACCCACAUUAGAGGACUCACAACUACCCAUACCUCAUACCAGGGGAUGAGAUGCCCCCUCUGACUCUUAAGGGUCUCUGUGUGCACAUGGUGCACAUAAACUCAUGGAGGCUCACAUACACACAUCAAUUUAAAAAAGAAAUUCUUGUACAAGAGCUCACCAUGUAGCUUAGGCUGGUCUCUAAACUCAUAAUCCUCCUGUCUCUGCUGUGCAGACAGCUGUCAUAGGUGCAUGUGCAGUGGCCAGCCUCAACCUGUCUCUGUCACAGGUGUGUGCGGGGUGGCCAGCCUCAAUCUGUCUCUGUCACAGGUGUGUGCGGGGUGGCCAGCCUCAAUCUGUCUCUGUCACAGGUGUGUGCGGGGUGGCCAGCCUCAGUUUGUCUCUGUCACAGGUGUGUGCGGGGUGGCCAGCCUCAAUCUGUCUCUGUCACAGGUGUGUGCGGGUUGGCCAGCCUCGGUCUGUCUCUGUCACAGGUGUGUGCGGGUUGGCCAGCCUCAGUCUGUCUCUGUCACAGGUGUGUGCGGGGUGGCCAGCCUCAACCUGUCUCUGUCACAGGUGUGUGCGGGGUGGCCAGCCUCAAUCUGUCUCUGUCACAGGUGUGUGCGGGUUGGCCAGCCUCAGUCUGUCUCUGUCACAGGUGUGUGCGGGGUGGCCAGCCUCGGUCUGUCUCUGUCACAGGUGUGUGCGGGGUGGCCAGCCUCAAUCUGUCUCUGUCACAGGUGUGUGCGGGUUGGCCAGCCUCAGUCUGUCUCUGUCACAGGUGUGUGCGGGGUGGCCAGCCUCAAUCUGUCUCUGUCACAGGUGUGUGCGGGGUGGCCAGCCUCAACCUGUCUCUGUCACAGGUGUGUGCGGGGUGGCCAGCCUCAAUCUGUCUCUGUCACAGGUGUGUGCGGGUUGGCCAGCCUCGGUCUGUCUCUGUCACAGGUGUGUGUGGGGUGGCCAGCCUCGGUCUGUCUCUGUCACAGGUGUGUGCAGGGUGGCCAGCCUCAGUCUGUCUCUGUCACAGAUGUGUGCAGGUGGCCAGCCUCGGUCUGUCUCUGUCACAGGUGUGUGCAGGGUGGCCAGCCUCAAUCUGUCUCUGUCACAGGCAUGUGCAGGGUGACCAGCCUCAAUCUGUCUCUGUCACAGGUGCGUGCAGGUGGCCAGCCUCAGUCUGUCUCUGUCACAGGUGUGUGCGGGGUGGCCAGCCUCAGUCUGUCUCUGUCACAGGUGUGUGCAGGGUGGCCAGCCUCAAUCUGUCUCUGUCACAGGCAUGUGCAGGGUGACCAGCCUCAAUCUGUCUCUGUCACAGGUGUGUGCGGGGUGGCCAGCCUCGGUCUGUCUCUGUCACAGGUGUGUGCAGGGUGGCCAGCCUCAGUCUUUCUCUGUCAUAGGUGUGUGCAGGGUGGCCAGCCUCAGUCUGUCUCUGUCACAGGCAUGUGCAGGGUGGCCAGCCUCAACCUGUCUCUGUCACAGGUGUGUGCGGGGUGGCCAGCCUCAAUCUGUCUCUGUCACAGGUGUGUGCGGGUUGGCCAGCCUCAGUCUGUCUCUGUCACAGGUGUGUGCGGGGUGGCCAGCCUCAAUCUGUCUCUGUCACAGGUGUGUGCGGGGUGGCCAGCCUCAACCUGUCUCUGUCACAGGUGUGUGCGGGGUGGCCAGCCUCAAUCUGUCUCUGUCACAGGUGUGUGCGGGUUGGCCAGCCUCGGUCUGUCUCUGUCACAGGUGUGUGUGGGGUGGCCAGCCUCGGUCUGUCUCUGUCACAGGUGUGUGCAGGGUGGCCAGCCUCAGUCUGUCUCUGUCACAGAUGUGUGCAGGUGGCCAGCCUCGGUCUGUCUCUGUCACAGGUGUGUGCAGGGUGGCCAGCCUCAAUCUGUCUCUGUCACAGGCAUGUGCAGGGUGACCAGCCUCAAUCUGUCUCUGUCACAGGUGCGUGCAGGUGGCCAGCCUCAGUCUGUCUCUGUCACAGGUGUGUGCAGGGUAGCCAGCCUCAGUCUGUCUCUGUCACAGGUGUGUGCAGGGUGACCAGUCUCAGUCUGUCUCUGUCACAGGCAUGUGCAGGGUGACCAGCCUCAGUUUGUCUCUGUCACAGGUGUGUGCGGGGUGGCCAGCCUCAGUCUGUCUCUGUCACAGGUGUGUGCAGGGUGGCCAGCCUCAGUCUGUCUCUGUCACAGGCAUGUGCAGGGUGGCCAGCCUCAGUCUGUCUCUGUCACAGGUGUGUGCAGGUAGCCAGCCUCAGUCUGUCUCUGUCACAGGUGUGUGCAGGGUGGCCAGCCUCAGUCUGUCUCUGUUAUAGGUGCGUGUGCAAUGGCCAGUCUUAGUUUGUCUCUGUUAUAGGUGUGUGUGCAAUGGCCAGUCUCAGUCUGCCUUUGGUUUUGUGUCUAACAUUUUCUCAUCGUUCCAUCCUCCAUUGCUGCUUUGAUUAUAGUAAAUAGAUUUUUUCUACUAUAGCAUUUUGAUUCAUUUUUUAUUUAUCUUAUUGUGAACUUUAAACUGUUUUCUUAGUGUGUAUUUUAUGGACCACAAUUAAAAUUUUAAUUUAUAACUAGUUUGACUUAAUGCCAGGGUGGUUGGUGUAGUUUGUGGGAAACAUGCUCCCAUUUUUAUUGUUAUGGUUGCAAAUCUAUGUCCUUACUUUGUGUGCUCAUCACCAUUGUGAAAUCAUAUUUUUAAACAAAGAGGUUACAGGCUAAAACUAUAGUCCUAGGCUUUUGACUUAACCUCUGUAUUUUCCUUUAUUUUAUUUUAUUGAGACCGUGUCUCACUUUCUAGAUUUGGUUGGCCUAGAACUUGCUGUAUGGACUAGGCUGACCUUGAACUUACAGAGACCUACUUGUUUGCCUCCUGUCUUUGCCCUAACAGUGGUACCCUAUGUGGAGUGCAUCAUCCAGCUUCUGUCACUCAGUGUUUCCCUGUAGGUCUUGUUCAUCUUCUCUUCCUCUUCUUUUCUUAUUUUUAUGAUCACAUGCAAUGCUCUAGAUGGGCCAGCGUUUUCUCACCCCAUCCCAUGCUGUUGGAGCACUCAUUCUUCAGAGACACGCCGGGUAGCCAUGCAGAUAGCAUUUCUGUACAUGGUGUCUGUGGACUGCACACCCAACACAAGACUGCACACACGGGCCGGAGCCAUUAAAGGUUAAGGCUCAUGACCAAAGGCACACAUACAUGCUCUGAGAACUGCCCUAGAGGGUUGCAUUCCUGUGUGGCAAGUGUGGUCAUAUGUUUAUCCCAGUCUACUUCUUCACUGUCUUUUGUUGACCUUGAUUUUGCCCGUCUGGCAGGUGAGAAGUGGCACCUCCACGGAGGCUUGUUCUGCAUCUGUUGUGUAAAGUUGAGCAUCCUAAGGGAGCGGGGCUGGUCAGAGUUAUUUUCUUCCGUGCUGUUUGUUGAUAUUAUCUCUCCCAGAGUGGGGCUGCUACUUUGCUGCAUUAGGUUUCUGGGGUAAUUUGAAAGGAAUGUGCUAAUGUUAAAUCUUUCUUGACACAGUUUAGAUUUCCCCCGAAUGCUCAAUUCUUCAUAUCGGAAGCUUAAUUCCUGUUGAUGUUACCGAACACACUUAUAGCAGCGGAUCUUAUGAUCUUAUUACGUGUUCCUUUACAUGAGAUCUUCUACCACUCGCCUGUGAACUGAGACUGUGUGUGCCCACCUUUCUUACAGAAUCCCUCAGGACAGUGCUGCUGCUGGUCUUGAAGCAAGCACUGUGUUUAAACUGUGAUGUUAGACGAACUUAUGUUUUACUUUGAUACUCCGUCUUGUCCUGUUGCGAGUCCUUAGGACCCUGUGACAGUUGUCAGCAGUGGAGGGGUGCCGGUGGCUCUGGGGCUGUCCUUGCCUGCUUCCAACUUUGAUGGAAAUAUUUCUUGUUUCCUUGAAGCCUAGCACUGAGUUUUAAGUUGAAAUAUAUAUUUCUUGUCAUGUUGGGAACACUCUUCUGCCUUCUUCAUCGUGUUUUUAAAGAUGGAGAAGGAACGUGAGAUUUUAUCACAUGCUACUUCGUGCCUGUGGUGAUUCCAGCCAUCCAGGGCAGUUGGAGGACAGCCUGGAGCUCAGCCUGCAGGGUGUCUUGGAGGAGUGUGGAAGGGUGGGUAAGAGUGAGGAGAGAAGGUGGAGGCUGGAGACACCAUCUGCUGCUGCUGUGGUGAGACUGACAGAAACAGGGAAACAGGAAGGAGCUUUCUCUCCUCUUGCAUGCCAGCCAGACUUCAUUGCUCUCCCAGAUACCUGAGAAGCAGCUUAGGGGAUGGAGGACUCUUUUAGUUUACAGUUCUUGAAGGUUCUGUUCAUCAAGGUGGGAAGGAAUAGGCAGGAAGUAGAGGUGAACAACAUCAGGAAGAGGCCUGGAUAAGACCUAGCCCCUAAGGUCACAUCUCCAGGGCCCACACCCUCAAGCCAGGGGUCUCCUUCCAUAGCACCACCUUCCCACAGCCAGAGUCUAAUUUUGAAUCCAUCAGUGGCUUGGCCAUUGGUUCCCAUAUGAUGUGGUAAAGCCCUUGCACACGUGUGUAUUUUACCAAUCUUUUGGGCACUAUUUAUUUUAAAAAAGUUUAAUGUCUGGGUGGGUGUAUGCACGCCAUAGCAUACCUGUGGGCAUCGUCCCCACCCCACUCUCCCGCCUCAUACCCUGUGGGGAUUCGUUCAGGCCUGUGUUCAAGACACCUCGACAGCCCUCCUAGGCACUUCUUAGUCAGUGACAGUCAAGAUUAACCAUCGUGCUUUAACUGAGACUUCCUUUGCAGGAGCCAGCCAGCCAGCUCCAGGCCAGAGUAGAGUAUAGCAGGGUGGGUUUGGAGAAGAGAGCAAAGGAGCAGGUAACCGCAGAUCGACCAGUGCCUCAUCUUUCACGUGCUAUUUCUGGGUGCCCAGAAUGCUUUUCUGUGGUGUGAAUUUACUGUCUCGUAUCACGUCAGGAUAAGCUUAUGUCUCUAGGUGACAGGGGCCGCUGGAAUAAAGUGUAUACAUUGUUAGUCCGACAGCUGGGUCUCUAGCGACUGGAUAGAAAGGUGGCCUUGUAGAGUCCCGUGUGUGCUGGGUGCACUGCUGAGCCCCAGGUCCUUCUGCAGAGAGCAGGGAGCGAGCUGGUUCCUGCUUUAGCUCGUUGGAAGAAUGACUGUGGUCAGGUCCAUGCGUUAGCUGGCCUUUGUCAGGACAUGAUGCUCAGUCAUGUGCUUACCAGGAGAUGAGUGAUGUACGUCAUGCUGUGGCAACUGUGGCCCAGGGGAAAUCAUUUCUUGGAAAAAGGAAAUUUUUUUCUUUUCUUUCUGGUGGACAUCUUUUAGGGUAGCCGCAGUUUCUGUUUGCACCUAAAACUGCUCCAUGUCCAGCCUGUUGUCCUGGUGACAUUAUCCUAUGACCCUUUUCUAAGAGGUGCCCUGGUUAGUUUGACGAAAUCUACUGCACUGUCUAUUUUAGACGUUUAAAGCUAAACUUUCUCAAGGUCACCAUGUGAGGCAGGCAUGCAGAGAGAGGCGGGGCCUCCGGAACCAAAGGGUCCUUACUGUGUGCUCACAGAGAUCGUUUCCAGUGUUCAGGGCUUACUGCUUAACAGUGGAACAGCUCUGCGGGUUACGGGGUGUAACUCGGUGGAGGGUUCUUGCUUGGCAUGUGUGAGGCCCUGGCUUACAUACAUCAGUGCCAGGGCGUGGGAGGUAAGGCAGAAGGAACAAAUCUUUCUCUUGAGUGAGCCUGGCAGGCCUUGAGUGCAAAGGCUUAGCAGGGAAGGCCUGCUUGUGGGCCCCCUGCUUGGGCUCCACACUGUCAUUGGUCAUUGCCUGUGUCCCAUAAGUGUGGCGGGGCAUGGCCUUCUUACAUGCGUCUGGCCUGCCUUGCUUUCUUGGGGUUGUUUGUAGGUUUUUCUCAAACCUGUGAGUUUGGAAAUAUCUGUGGGCAAUGAGUUUUAAGGAUUCUUACACACACUUAAACACUGUCUUUCAUCCUUUUGGUAGGCUUGUCACACAUUUUCUGGGACAGUUGUGUGUCCAUGCAAUUAAGUUUGCUGGUGAAAUGAGCGGAAACAGUUUUUGACAGCUCUUUGUGGUUGAAAAGAAGGCAGAAAAGGUUGCCUCUUUAGUCACCAAUGGCCGCUUAGGUUGGUUUCAGCAAGCCUGGGGGAAGCCCAGUUUCCUUGCUUCCUGAGCUCACUGCUGCUGGGAACUGCCGGGGAUGGACACUCACCUACUCUGUGUUCAAGGGAAGCUGUCUCCAUUUAUAGAGGAUAUGAGACCGGGGGUUUCCAUGAAUAGCUCAUGCGUCUGGGUCAUGAGCCAGACAACCCAGCCAGGAGCAAUUUCAAGUUCAGAUCCCAGUCUUCCACCGCCAGACUUUAGUUUUCCUCAAACAGUAUACUGCCCAUUGUGUGUGUGUGUGUGUGUGUGUGUGUGUGUGUGUGUGUGUGUGUGAGAGAGAGAGAGAGAGAGAGAGAGAGAGAGGGAGAGAGAGAGAGAGAGUGUGUGUUUAUAAGGCUGCCAUGUCUAUUUUCUCUCUUGUUCUGUAGCAGUGUGGGUCACUAGUCACUUUUGUUCUUUCUGGUGACACAGGGAUAUACUAUGAUAAAUACUUGUCACAGAUCCUACUGUUAUUUCUCCUGUGGGUUGAUAAUUAAAGCACUGUUAGGGUUUCUUUUAUUUGCCACAUUUAUUUGUGGGCUGGCUAGUGUUUUGUCAACUUUGAACAACUAGAGUGAUCUGGGAAGAGGGAACUCAGUUAAGAAAAUGACUCCAUCAGAUUGGCCUGUGGGCAAGCCUGUGCUACAUUUUCUUGGUUAACGACUGCUGUGAGGAUCCAGUCCCAUGAUAGAUGGGGGUUGGGGGGGGUCCUGGGGUCUAUAAGAAAGCAGGUUGGGGUUGGGGAUUUAGCUCAGUGGUAGAGCGCUUGCCUAGGAAGCAUAAGGCCCUGGGUUCAGUCCCCAGCUCCGGAAAAAAAGAACCAAAAAAAAGAACCAAAAAAAAAAAAAGGCAGGCUGAGCAAGCCGCCCAGCUAGCCAUGGGGAGCUAGCCAUGGGGAGCAAGCAGUCCUUCGGCUUCUGUGUCAGCUCCUGCCUCCCUCCCUCUGGGUUCCUGCUCCAGCUUCUCUCAGUGAUGAACUGUGAACAGAGAGUUUUAAAUGUAAGUUAACCCUUGCCUGCCCAUGUUGCUUUUGGCUGUGGUGUUUGUCAUCGCAGCGAAAAUCCUAACUGAGACACUUGGCAAAGUUCAUGGUUUGUCUUCAGUGCAGGAACCUUGAGAUCAGUGCUGUGAUAGGUGACAACUAGAAAGGGCUUCUUAACGUUGACAACCUUGGAGUCAUCUGAGCAAGGCUGGCUAGGAGGGAAGGAAGACAGAAGGAUCAGGAAGCCAUUUAUAGUUUUUGGCCCCCACCCCCACCUCCCAUCCUUCAUGGUUCAGCCGGUUUAGCCUUGAGCUUCCUCUGUGUUAGGAUUGUAGUUGUGGACCACUGCACCAGGCAAGGCCUCCCCACCUCUCCAAAUACAGGGCAUUGUGUUGCCUAGGCUGGCUUCUAACUCUGUGUAGCUGAGGAUGUCCUUGGAUCUGGUUCUCUGUCUCUACCUCCUGAAUGCUGGAAUCACAUGUGUGGCCACCCCUCCUGGUUUACAUGGUGCUGGAGAUGAACCCAGGGCUUUGUGGGUGCUGGGCAGGCAGUCUGCCCACGGAGCUGCAUUCCCAGCACAAGUUCUGAGAAUUCUUAGAGUGAGAGUGGGCCACCUGUCUGCCUGGAGCCUGUUUAUCCCGUUGCCACUGGAGUGGCAGCCAGAGUUUAGGCCAUUUUCCUGUGGUUCUUGUGACCUUGUGUUCCCAGUGUUUACCAAAUACUUCAAAUACUUUCCCCAAAUUUCACACACUGCACAUUCAGACCAUAAAAGGACCCAUUGAGAUAAAUGUCAAAGUUCCACAAAUCACAGUGUGUGUCUUAAUGGUAGGUUUUUAAAAAUCAGAUUUACAGAGGACUUGGGGCAGUUUAAUGAUGGGUGGAACUCUGAAAUCUUUGAGUUCCCACUUGGUUUCUUGGGGAUCACAUCUCCAUACAGAAGCUCACACACCCGGAUGCUGCUAACCUCAGUAGUGAAUUGACAGCUGCUUUAUCAAUCCUUUACAAAGGGGCGACCUUGAUCAGAAGUCUCUGCUUUCUAGAAUGUUAACGCUGGUAAAGGUGUAGCAGUUGACAAUCCUGGAGGUAGAGAUCACAAGGAUAUGGAGUGGGGCGGGGAGGCUUCCACAUGGGGAAGGCUCAGAGCAGGAAGCAGUUGGCAUUUGUAUGCUGAGGGAAAGGCGGUCAUUUGGACUGAGUCUUCAUGUUCCUAUGAGAGAAGGAAGCCACAGUGGAAGUAGGAUGGUGUCUGUGGGAACCCAACUGCGUGGUGAAUGCCCGUUUGCCAUUUAGGUCCCAUCUGAAAUGCAGUGAAAGCUCAAAAUUGGUGAUUAGAGCUCAGAUAUCUGUGUUUAUAAGACAGACAUGAAGAGCUACAUGUGUGGAGGUUAUGAAUAUGGCAUAAAUCUCCAUUAUUUGAUUUCAGAUUCUUGGUAGGAGGGGCACCUGCCUAGAAUCCCCCCAGUGAGGGACUGGGGGCGUGGCUCAGUGGUAGAGCCCCUGCCUAGAAUCCCCCAGUGAGGGGCUGGGGUGUGGCUCAGUGGUAGAGCCCCUGCCUAGAAUCCCCCAGUGAGGGCUGGGGCGUGGCUCAGUGGUAGAGCCCCUGCCUAGAAUCCCCCAAUGAGGGGCUGGGGCGUGGCUCAGUGGUAGAGCCCCUGCCUAGAAUCCCCCAGUGAGGGGCUGGGGUGUGGCUCAGUGGUAGAGCCCCUGCCUAGAAUCCCCCAGUGAGGGGCUGGGGGCGUGGCUCAGUGGUAGAGCCCCUGCUUAGUAUAGAGAUUACAUCUUCAGCACUGGAAAAACAAGCAAGCAAGCAAAGGUAGGCUCCUUAGCACUGCCGUUUUGGUGCCUCUGUCCUUCAGUCUCCUCUUGUUAGUGUAGGGAUGAUUGUAGUUACUUACCUGUUUCAGGUUAACUGCUAGAAUUAGAUGGUUCAGAUAAAAGUAUGUCCAACAGUGCAUGGCAUAUAACAGAGGAAUAUACAGGCUUUAGUAGUGUAGUCAUGGCUUAAUGCAGUAUGCAUAUUAAUUAGUUCAUGGCUUUUAUCCAUAUAUGGGUAUAGUAUGCAUUUGCUCUUUCCUUGGAGGGAAACUGGGCUGUCUGUAGCUUGUGCAUUCUCUGCAGUUUUGCAUAGAAAUUAUGGCCCCCAAGCCUGUCACAUGGAAACCAGCCGCAGAGCUGCCCCUGAGGAAGGGAUGUGGCCUUUGCUUGUCAAGGCAGGUGUCCCUGGGCCAUAGCUUCAUAUAUGUGUGUGUCUAUGUACAUGUGUGCACACUUAUACACCAGUACAUGUAUGUUUUCCCCCCAUCCCCCUCCUCUGCACUGGAGACAGGGUUUCUUUAUGUAUCCCGACUGUUCUAGAACUCACUCCCUAGAUCAUGCUUUGGCUAACUUACACUGAAGACACAGUAUUGGAAGGCUCUCGGUGGCCUCUAGAAUAGUUGAAAGUUAGACACCAAAACUAAGGGCAGGAAAAGACAGUGACAGGCUUGGGUGUCCAGGAAGCGCAGCCGUGGGUCUGAGCAAGCAGCCUGGGCGGCAGCCAUUGCUGCUGUCACUAGAGUCCCCUGUAGAGCAUUGCUUCCUGCUCUUGUUGAUGCCCCAUGGCAUGCCGUCAAACAGGGUCAGCUACAGUUGAAUGCCUCUCAACAGAGCUCUGAGUUGAGGGUAGAAUAGCUUGGAGUUCCCCGCAGCCGUAACCGCCUUCUCGAAGACUGGCCAUGUGCUUUAGUGAGCGUGCAUGGUGGGUAGUAAACGACAUAGUUGUGUAAGAAAAUGGUGUGGGGCAGUGACCCAAGCCCUGUUGUCCAGUCAAGACAGGGCACAGAGGUGCUGCUAAGUGGACAGGAAGACUGCAACUGGAGGGUUGCUCUAGGAUCAGAUGCUCGGUUACUUCCCUUAUUUGGGCAAAGACAAAAAACGAGCAGUCUCUAUGUGACUCAAACUGAUUCAUCCUUUCAGAAUAUUUUCCUCAAGAUGAAAAUGUCGUAGAAAUAUCCCAUAGGGAAUUUCCCUUCCCCCCCUUUUUUUUAACACAGGGUCCUUCUGUGUUGUCCAGGGUGACCUCAAACACAGAGAUCUGCCUGCCUCUGCUUCCUGAGAUCUGGGGUUCAAGAUGUGUAUUUCUUAUUUUUAGAAAAAAUUGUAUUAAUUUAAAAAAUUAUAUAUGCAUAUGCAUGUGCAUACAUAUAUAUGUACAUGUAUGUGUGCCGGGGCAUGUGCUUCUGCCCUGGCCUACAUGUGGAGGUCACAGGACAGCUAGCAAAGUGUGUUUUCUCCUCUAGCCAUGUGGGGCCUAGGGAUUGAACUCAGGUCUUCAGUCUUGGUAGCCGUUGCCACCUGAGCUGUCCUGCCUGCUCUAGAAAUUCCUGUAACAAGAAGUCUCGUGAUGGCUCAUGCCUGUAAUCCCAGCACUUGAGAGGCUGAGGCUGGCGGAACCUUGCCAGUUCAAGGAUAGCCUGGGCUACAUACUAAAACCCUGUCUCAAAGGGGGAAAAAAAACCGAAUCCCACGUCCAAUCAUCCUCCCCAUUAAUGGAGAGAUUUCAUCUGUGAGCGUGCGUAUCAUUCAGUGUUGUGUGAGAGGCAGUGAGAGAGAGCAGUUACCAUCAAGUUAGGCGGUGUCCUCGAGUGUACAGAACAGCACAGAUGAGAGCGUCCUUGCCUUAAAUGGAAGGUCUAUGCACAGCUUUGGGAAAUGUCGUCUGUCACGUCUUGGCAUCCGUUUGUCUGCAGGGUCUGGUUAUGGAAAGAAUGUGGUUUCUAUACAUAUAUCUAAGGUACCCUGAGUCAUGGGUUGGAGUUGGUGCCUGACAUGAUCUCUACCUGUGAAGAUUUCUGCUUCGUCAUGUCCUAACACGAGGUCCAUGUGUUUACUGCAGUAAUUCAUGGCAAACACAUCCAGCCAGGCCAACGGCACUUGUUGUAAGCACUUUUCUGUGUCUUUUUUCUUUCUUUCUUUCUUUUUUCUUCAGAGCUGGGGACUGAACCCAGGGCCUUGCACUUGCUAGGCAAGCGCUCUAUCACUGAGCUAAAUCCCCAACCCCUGCAAAGUGCUCUUUAACGCUAAGCCAUCUCUCCAGUCCCAUAUUCUUUUAAGUUGAAAAACUGUAUUUAUUCAUUGAUUGAGUGGUACACAUGUACACGUGUGUGUGUGUGUGUGUGUGUGUGUGUGUGUGACAGAGAGAGAGAGAGAGGUAUACACUAACAAUAAAGUUAAUGACAUGCAAUUUUAAGAUCAUAUUAAUUGUGAGAUACUCAAAGAGAAAAAAUAGUAGAAAUCAAAUACUUUCUUGGCAAGGCUUUCUUUUGUUUUUUGUUCUUGUUUGUUUGUUUUGUUUUGUUUGUUUUUGUUUUUGUUUUAGAUUUUGUAGCUUUGGCUGGUCUGGAAUUUGCUAUAUAGACCAGGCAGGCUGACGUCUCCUGCCUCUGCCUUUGCCUGUCUCCCAAGUGCUGGGAUCAAAGGGAUGUACCACCAUGCCAGCUGAAUUCCAUCUUGACAUUAUUGAAAGAGCCACUUGGGUUUUCUUUUAAACAUGUGCUCUGUGUGUGUGUGUGUGUGUGUGUGUGUGUGUGUGUGUGUGUGUGUGUGCGCGCGCGCACGCGCUUUGUGUGUCUGUGUGUAUGCACACUCGCAUGUUCUUGCAGAGGCCAGAAGCACAGUUAGAUCUGGAACCUGAGUUACAGACAGUUGUGAGCCACCUGGUUGGGGUGCUGGUAAUCAAAUUUGUCCUCUGCAAGAGUACAGAGUGUGCUCAGUCACUGAGCUAUCUCUCCAGCCUUGUCACCUUUUUUAAAAAAAUAAAGUAUUCAUUACAGUAUCAAGCUCAGUCAAGGUCUCUGAGCUUGUACACACUUAUGUGACAAUAAGAAAAAGAAAAUCUGAAUUGAGUGUUUUUAUUUUUCUAUUCGCGUGGGUUUGAGAUGUCAGAGUUAUGCUUCCAAGAUGGGCUGCACAUGUUUAAGGUGUGUAUGUAUUUUGUCUGGUUUGGAGUGUGAUAAUACAGUCUUCCACAUGGACAGCUGCGCACAGCAGCAUGCCUCUGCCCGUGUGCUGGGGUGAGUGGAGAUGAGCAGAUUGGAGGACUCACUAGCCAACCAGCCCAGCCCAGAGGGCAGGCUCUAGGUUCAGUGGGAGAUCCAUCUCAAAACAGUAAGGUGGAGAAUGGAUUCAUGGAGACACCAGCACAUAAGUCUCUGAUCACAUGUGUACAUACACACAUAUGUACAGACACAAACCCGGGCUGACCCAUUCAAGAGCCUCAAGAUCAUGCCAGUGUGCACAGUGUGCAGGGUCUGUUUACAUCUGGACGUCUCUGGACAAUGCUGGAAGGAUGACCUCGCCUCUCUGGCUCUGUGUGUUCUUUUGCUUCCCAGGGCAUAGAUGUCUCAGUUUCCUCCUCACUGGAGCUGUGAACUCCUCCUUUCCAGUCUUCUAUUUCCAGCCUCAGCUUGACUAUUAAUAGAGCACUUCCACUGUUGCCUUCCAGGCUUCGACUUUAGUUAACUAUGGCUGUUCUAGCAGGGCUAGGCAACUUACCCACCCUGUCACUGAUCCCCAGGGAAGCUGCUGUGGGUGCCUGUGACCUCUGCUUACAACUAGGAGCUGGGUGUUUUGUGCUUCAGAUAAAAGUCUCUCCAGGGGGUUUGAUGAAGACUUGCAGGUGGCUAGUUUAGAAUUGGGCUGAAAUCUUUCCUGAGGUCCUCUUGACUCUUGAACGCUGGUGUGCAUCGGAGAGAAUUCGAGGGCUGCAGUGUACGCGUGCCUUCAGAUGCUCGUGGGACGUUGGGAAGAGCUGCCAGUCCAGGGCUCCAGGGACUGCCUUGAAGAUAUUGCUGCUUUCCGUCCUCUGUAGGUCAGCAGUGUCUUAGCCAAGUAUUGUGUGCCAAGAACCUUGCAAAGAAAGACUUCUUCAGACUCCCCGACCCCUUUGCCAAGAUUGUUGUGGACGGCUCUGGGCAGUGCCACUCAACCGACACUGUGAAAAACACCCUGGACCCAAAGUGGAACCAGC